CCGCUGCCGAGGAUUUGACGCGAACUCCUGGCAGAUCAGAAAUGUUCAGGCGAACGGCGGUUAUAUUUGUCCGUGGACCCAAGACUUCGUUGACGGGCAAAUAUGGAACGCUGCAACAAGGACUGGUGUGGAUAGCGUGUUGCGCUGGUCUCGCCAACUGAAAAAAUUCUCGGUAAGACGCAUGCUUGGUUACAAAAGUCUCACGCAAUCGCUUUUCACAUUGAAUUGGUCGCAGGUGUGC